UACAGAGGGUGCAAGCGUUAAUCGGAGUUACUGGGCGUAAAGGGCGCGUAGGCGGCUAAUUAAGUGAGAUGUGAAAUCCCUGGGCUUAACCUAGGAACUGCAUCUCAUACUGGUUAGCUAGAGUACUGUAGAGGGUAGUGGAAUUUCCGGUGUAAGCGGUGAAAUGCGUAGAGAUCGGAAGGAACACCAGUGGCGAAGGCGGCUACCUGGACAGAUACUGACGCUGAGGCGCGAAAGCGUGGGGAGCAAACAGG
rnacentral:rRNA from 1 species